rnacentral:rRNA from 1 species
AUUGAACGCUGGCGGCAGGCUUAACACAUGCAAGUCGAGCGGGGGAAGGUAGCUUGCUACCGGACCUAGCGGCGGACGGGUGAGUAAUGCUUAGGAAUCUGCCUAUUAGUGGGGGACGACAUCUCGAAAGGGAUGCUAAUACCGCAUACGUCCUACGGGAGAAAGCAGGGGAUCUUCGGACCUUGCGCUAAUAGAUGAGCAUAAGUCGGAUUAGCUAGUUGGUGGGGUAAAGGCCUACCAAGGCGACGAUCUGUAGCGGGUCUGAGAGGAUGAUCCGCCACACUGGGACUGAGACACGGCCCAGACUCCUACGGGAGGCAGCAGUGGGGAAUAUUGGACAAUGGGGGGAACCCUGAUCCAGCCAUGCCGCGUGUGUGAAGAAGGCCUUAUGGUUGUAAAGCACUUUAAGCGAGGAGGAGGCUACUUUAGUUAAUACCUAGAGAUAGUGGACGUUACUCGCAGAAUAAGCACCGGCUAACUCUGUGCCAGCAGCCGCGGUAA